rnacentral:rRNA from 1 species
UCGAGAAUCAUUCGCAAUGGGCGAAAGCCUGACGAUGCGACGCCGCGUGAGCGAAGAAGGCCUUCGGGUUGUAAAGCUCUUUCGCUUGGGAACAAGAGAUGCUAGCUAACAUCUAGCAAAUUUGAGCGUACCAGGUAAAGAAGCACCGGCUAACUCCGUGCCAGCAGCUGCGGUAAUACGGAGGGUGCAAGCAUUAAUCGGAUUUAUUGGGCGUAAAGAGCGUGUAGACGGCGAAGAAAGUCAGAUGUGAAAUCCCGGGGCUUACCCCCGGAACUGCAUUUGAAACUUCUUCACUAGAGGGUAGGCGGAGAAAACGGAAUUCCACAAGUAGCGGUGAAAUGCGUAGAUAUGUGGAAGAACACCGGUGGCGAAGGCGGUUUUCUAGCUUAUUCCUGACGUUGAGACGCGAAAGCAAGGGGAGCAAACAGGAUUAGAUACCCGUGUAGUCC